rnacentral:sRNA from 1 species
AAUAAAUUAAAACUUUUAACAACGGAUCUCUUGGUUCUGGCAUCGAUGAAGAACGCAGCGAAAUGCGAUAAGUAAUGUGAAUUGCAGAAUUCAGUGAAUCAUCGAAUCUUUGAACGCACAUUGCGCCCCCUGGUAUUCCGGGGGGCAUGCCUGUUCGAGCGUCAUUUCACCACUCAAGCCUCGCUUGGUAUUGGGCAACGCGGUCCGCCGCGUGCCUCAAAUCGUCCGGCUGGGUCUUCUGUCCCCUAAGCGUUGUGGAAACUAUUCGCUAAAGGGUGUUCGGGAGGCUACGCCGUAAAACAACCCCAUUUCUAAGGUUGACCUCGGAUCAGGUAGGGAUACCCGCUGAACUUAA